rnacentral:lncRNA from 1 species
UUGAAAUCCAGUUUCUAUUUGAGCUCAAAUUCCGACUAACUCAAUCAUUAUUCAAAACCCUGGUCUCGCGGGUCAUCUGAACUGCGCUGAGCUGAAGUUACCUCAAAGAGAUUCGCUAAAGAUCAGACUUACCGCAGACAUUUUGUUAAGCUGGUGAUUGUUAAGUCUUGUUAAAAUUUCACGGAGCUCGCUUACCUGAUGUUAACGAA